UUAAGCAAGUAUCCAUUGAGAGGGGUCAGAGGAUUAGCUCAAACUCCAACAUAUCUAGCUGCUACCUUGCUUAUCAUAGCUGCUACCUCAAUCGCUGUAUUUUUUUGUGUUUUUCCCCCCUGUGGCAUUUAUUCUGUGCACAUGAACACGUUUUCAGAAUUGCUAUGUGUAACUCAGACGGUUACUCUUGUGUGUUUUGCUGCUAGUUGUGCGAACGAGCCAGACAAACCAGCUGGGAGGAGGACGGAAGCACCCCUUCUCCAUCCGCGUUCAGUUGCUAAAUACGGAUCCACCCCGUAGUGUGGUGUUUUCCAUAGCUGUUCCUUGCUCCUGUUUCACAACAUAUCAAGGCUGCCAAGUAAAUGAAGAAUGAAUCACCGCACACUGGUCAACAGCCGACAGGGUCCUUCCACAACCACAUACUUAUGCCAGUAAAAGCCACAGCUUUUCUCCUCCAAUCCAAGAAGCCUGGACUGCAGUCACCAUCUCAACACACCAACCAAGAGAAAGGCGGAUGGCUCAAUUCAAUAUGGAAAAUUGCACAAUAAAAGUUCCAGGACAUGAAGGCUGCAUACUGUGAACGUCAACCUUCAGGGCACCGUCCUGCGCAGAAGACUUUCUACCCUAAGAGGGAUGGCUGACCGCAGACACUCACAACCAGCACAGACGCCUCCAACCUCAAACUAGGCCCUUCACAGUUGCUGCACUUACCCACCUUCCCAGAGUUUUUGUGUGGUAAUGACAACUGUAAAUAUAGUAUAAAGUAAUGUAUCUAGUGUCAUGUGUAAUACAUUGUUUAAAUUGUCCAUACAUUUCAAUGACAGUAAAUAUUGGUGGACACAAUUUGACUGUGUGGCUUUUUUUAAUUCAUUCUCUGA